ensembl:snRNA U6 U6 spliceosomal RNA
GUGCUCGCUUCAGCAGCACAUAUAGUAAAAUUGGAUCGAUACAGAGAAGAUGAGCAUGGCGCCUGCUCAAGGAUGACACGCAAAUUCGUGAAGCGUUCCAUAAAAAA